ensembl:lncRNA
CCCCUUUGCUGUAUAAUAAGCUCCACUCUUUUAGGAAGGCUUUCCACUAGAUUUUGGAGUGUGGCUGUGGGGAUUUGCCUAUUCAACCUCAAGAGCAUUAAUGAGAGCGGUCGACUGAUAUUGAAUUUUACUGAUACCAAUAACGAAGUUGGGCAGUACCUGCUGUUAACCGAUUAAUAAACCAAUACCUUUUCGUUGUCUAUGUUUUAAAUCCACAUCUGAAAUAUCCUGCUCCGUGCAGAGUGUAGUCUCACGUGUCAAAAACAAGCACUACAAGGCACAAGUGCUAUUUUUUUCGCCUCUAGAGGCUGCUCUCGUAGUGUAUAAUAACAGCGGACACUUCUCAGCCGCUCCUGCAACUGACGCAACCCGGAAAAACUAGCAGUGUGGAUUUUUGUUAAUAACCGAUAGUUCCAGCUAUUGGUUAUCUGUGAUUGGUUUUGCCAAUCAAUUGGUCAACCUCUACUGGUGAGGUCGAGCAAUGAUGUUGGGCGAGGAGGCCUGGGGCACAGUCACUGUUCCAAAUCAUCCAAAAGGUGUUCACUAGGGUUGAGGUCAGGGCUCUGUGCACUACACUUGACUUCUUCCGCACCAACUUUGUUCUCAUGGACCUCGCUUUGUGCACAGGGGCAAUAUGAUGGAACAUGUUUGGCCCCCUUAGUUCCAGUGAAGGUAAAUUGUAAUGCUACUGCAUACAAAGACAUCCCAUAGUGCCCAAGGUGUGUUGGUCAGGUGUCCACACACAUUAUAUAUAAAUACACACACACACACAAAGGGACAUCAUACUAAUACUGGGUAGGACCCCCAUUUUGCUCAUACAACAGCCUCAAUUCUUCAAAGUUUGAAUUCCACAAAGUUUUGGAAAUAUUCCUUUGAGGUUUUGGUCCAUGUUGUCAUUGUUGUAUUAUGUAAUUAAUACAAAUCAUCCAUUCUUUGAAUGCCACAGCCAGUCUGAUUACUGUUGCUGAUCAUGUGUAUCCCUUUAUGGCCUCAAAUUAUCUUAUAAUGGCUACUACCAAGUUCCAACAUGAUAAUGCGAAAAUAAGUCACAAAGCACAAGUUAUCUCAAACUGGUUCCAUUAACAUGAUAAUGAGUUCAGUGUACUUCAGUGGCAUCACCAGUCACCAGAUCUGAAUAGAGCACCUUUAGGAUGUGGUCGAAUGGGGAAAGUCACAGCAUAAAUGUUCUGAUGACAAAUCUGCAACAAUUAUGUGAUGCAGUCAUGUCAACAUGGAACAGAAUCUCAAAGAAAUAUUUCCAACACUUUGUGGAAUCUAUGCAAUGAAGAAUUGAGGCUGUUCUGACAGCAAUGGUGGAGUUCUACCCAGUGUUGUUGUUGGUUAUGUAUAUACA